AACAUGACAAUAAUAGGAAACGCAUCAACAUUGUACAACACAACACACACAAAUAUGUUGAGAGGAAUGCGGAAGAAAUUCAUGAUGGUGCUUCUAGCCUCCUCAGGAAUAUAUUGGGACCUCAUCUUCAUGAUAGAUGGCCAGAAUAUACCCACACAGGCCUCAAAUGUGCAGAAGCCAAGAAGCUGGAUAGACCCUGAAAAUGAGAUGCUUCCACCUUUCUCCCCAGUUGGAACUAUCAAGAAACUUGCUAUAACAGGAAGCAGAAGGGACGCAGCAGAUAUUACAAAAACAAUCUGCAUAUAGCUCUCAACUUUGGGGGAAGAGUGAGCCAACAGUCGAGAUGCAAUGGAGCUUCCCAACAUUGAAGCCAGCAUGAAUGUUGCAAAAAUGAAACCAUGAGGAAUGUCCUCACCGUUUGGGCUUAGAGCAGGAGUCCAUAGGAACACAAAGGUGUACAUUGAACCUUCAAAUAGGGACUGUAUGGCACCCAGCAAUGCAAUUUUCUCAUCAGAAGCAAUAGCAACAGCAGCGCCCUUGAAUUGGGUAAGUAAGUCCUUGUUUUCUGAAGUGUCUCCAUAAUUUUCAGUCCAUGAUGAUAAUAUAAUUGUCAUACCAAUAGCAAGAAAGCAAGCAGCAGCAUCAAAUGGAGCAACAGGACCAAGCCCCAAGUUAUCUACUAGUAGAUUACCGAACAACCCAGACAUAAUGGCAAUCAAACCAUUGCCAAGAAAUAUUGCUUUUGAGAAUGUUAUUGACAACCAUUGUUGAUCAAAACCCCUCUUAAAGUGUUCCGCCACAAGCCAAGACUCAAAAGCUGAAAAGAGCAAAGAAGUGGCAAUGCCUCCCAAUACACGUCCCAACAUUAAGACUUUGUACUCAGAAGAAUGUUUGGUGAUGCAGCUCAGAAUGUAAGUUAUGCAGUAAGUAAUACAUGCUCUCCUUCGACCUUGCUUAUCAGCAAGAGACCCAACAAUUGUCCCGAACAACAUAGAAGAUCCAAAGCCAGCAAUAAAAAGCUGACCUAUCUCUCCCUUUCCAAACCCAUACUGACUGUAUAGGUAGUACACAUAUGGACCCUGCAACCAAUCCCCGGCCAUCAUGAGAGAAUAAACAAGAAGGUAGUUGUUUUUGAAGGCAUUGAAAGCAGAGGAUGUGUUGAUGCGGUCUCUGCUUGUUUUGCUGAGUUCAAGCGCUGCCACCACGGCCGCUAGGCCACCAAAUACCAGGAAGUAGAAGAUCUCCAUUGUUUGGUCUCCUCCUCUUUGGAGAUGGAUCUGCAAAGACUGGAAGAGAGAGAGAGGCAGAGUAUGAGAGAGAAAUUGAGAACUGGGUGUUAAAAGAGAGUGGGCAUUGAUCCCCCAAAUAUCAGUAUU
rnacentral:misc_RNA from 1 species